rnacentral:rRNA from 1 species
GAUGAACGCUGGCGGCGUGCUUAACACAUGCAAGUCGAACGGAAAGGCUCCUGCUUGCAGGGGUACUCGAGUGGCGAACGGGUGAGUAACACGUGGGUGAUCUGCCCUGCACUUCGGGAUAAGCCUGGGAAACUGGGUCUAAUACCGGAUAGGACCACAUUUUGGAUGGUGUGGUGGAAAGUUUUUCGGUGUGGGAUGAGCUCGCGGCCUAUCAGCUUGUUGGUGGGGUACUGGCCUACCAAGGCGUCGACGGGUAGCCGGCCUGAGAGGGUGUACGGCCACAAUGGGACUGAGAUACGGCCCAGACGCCUACGGGAGGCAGCAGGGGGGAAUAUUGCACAAUGGGAGCAAGCCUGAUGCAGCGACGCCGCGUGGGGGAUGACGGCCUUCGGGUUGUAAACUCCUUUCGCUAGGGACGAAGCGCAAGUGACGGUACCUGGAGAAGAAGCACCGGCUAACUACGUG